rnacentral:rRNA from 1 species
UACGUAGGGGGCUAGCGUUGUCCGGAAUCAUUGGGCGUAAAGCGCGCGUAGGCGGUCAGGUAAGUCCGGUGUGAAAGUCAAAGGCUCAACCUUUGAAUGCCGCUGGAUACUGCCUGACUUGAGUCCGGAAGGGGCGAGUGGAAUUCACGGUGUAGCAGUGAAAUGCGUAGAUAUCUGGAGGAACACCGGUGGCGAAGGCGGCGUCCUGGACCAACACUGACACUGAGGAGCGAAAGCCAGGGGAGCAAACGGG